UACGUAGGUGGCAAGCGUUACUCGGAAUCACUAGGCGUAAAGCGCAGGUAGGUGGCUUGAUAAGUCUAUUGUGAAAGCUCCCGGCUCAACUGGGAGAGGUCAAUGGAUACUGUUAGGCUUGAGUGUGGUAGGGGAAGCUGGAAUUCCUGGUGUAGCGGUGAAAUGCGUAGAUAUCAGGAGGAACACCUAAGGCGAAAGCAGGCUUCUGGGCCAACACUGACACUGAGCUGCGAAGGCUAGGGGAGCAAACAGG
rnacentral:rRNA from 1 species